AAUUCAAGUUCUUAUAAGCAUACUCAUCAGCUGUGAUCAGCUGGCCUACUUGUUUGGGAAGUCUGCUCAAGGCCGGAGUCCAAUCUGAAUUGUGUGUGAAAGAGAUAAUGUUUUCCAUUUUUUUGGAAGUUUCCCCCCUCUCUGUCUCCUGAGGAGCCCCUGGUUGAAGAGAUGUCACAGAAUAUUCUGAAAAAUCAAAGUCUGAGAGAUUGGGUGACCCUGACGGAUUUUGGAAGAUCUGGGCACUCUCAGCUGUGUCCCUUAGAGGAUUUACUCUAUGUACUGCAUUGGCUACAAUGGGGACCAGAGAAGGCAGGCCUGUGGUUAUCGGGGCCUCAGCCUCAGAGGGGGCAAAAGGAGAGAAAAGUUCCUGUGACAGCUGACCCGUAAACUCAUCUAAAUCAUCCAGUCUGUCACCCUGUGCAGGAGUUAACUGAUCCUCCUCCUCAUCAUCAUCAUCAAAACUCACUAAGAGAUUUUUCUCAGCUUGUUCUGUAACGACUGGUGGAGUUUUUGGUCUCUGUUCUGUCAGGUGUUUUUUCUUUUCUGGUCUUUUCCCCUUAGGAGACUGUAUAGGGGCCUGUAUAGGGGCCUGUACAGGAGGGUUCAGAGGUGGAAAAUCAUCUCCCAGAAGCCAGUCGUUCCUCAUAGGAGACCAGCCUGACAUUAAAGUGGGCGAUGUUUGUAUCUGGAUGUGUGUGACCCCUGUCUUAGGUCUGACGACCCCUGUGUUGACCGUUUCUGUCCCCUGCUGAGCUGAGGCUAGAUCUGCACCACUAACCACCUGAGCAAAUGUUCUGUUGUUACUGGUUUCAGAAUUCGAUGGUACUCUAGACCCGGAUGGAGUCCCAGAACGCAAUUCGGUCAGGACCAAAGUUUCGGCCUGCUGAAUUGCCCUCUGGGAGAUCCUUUUGCCAAAAUUUCUCAUCGCCCAUUUAACAGCGAUCUCAAAAGCGUGUAACCAGUCUUUUCUCUGUGUCUCUCCCCGUAAGAUCCCCAGUGUGUGCUUUAUGAUAUCCUCAUAAUGUUGCUGUAACACCAACUGUGUCGUAAACGCCCAGUUCUUUGCAUUACCCUCCAGCAAUUCUUUUGUGGACAUUGUGGGGGCAAAGGGUUUGAUCACACUUUUAAGAAGCUCUGUUAACCUUUUAAGAGUGACAGGCUGGUUAUCUUCUAUCCGUGUGUCAAUAUUACUGAGGUGAUGGACAGAUCUGAUCAGAUGAUACAUAUUCUUAAUAAUUCUCCGAAAAGUGGGAGAAGCAGGAGAGUAUUCUGUAUUUUUUUGUGAAUCAAAGUGACUUUUUUGGCCCAUUCUUUUUUUCUGGUGAACAUAUUUUUGUGCAAACUGGCCAUUCUCACGUCUCCUGUUCUUUUCUACAUUACGAGGAGAAUUUUGUGUGUUUCUGUAUCUCUGGUCAGUAAACCUGUUCUGUUCAGUGGGGUAAAAAAUCCUAUUUUCCCCAAAAGUCACUCUCUUUUGUUUGGGUUUAAAUCCCCGAUUUAAAGGGCGUCGAUCACGUGACUGACGACGGAAAGGAUUUACAGUAUUCUCCGAUCGAGUUUCAUUCUGUACUCUGUUACUGUAACCCGCGAGUGAUUCUCCGUGUCUGAUGACCUCAUAUGGGAAGUCACGAGAUCGCUCGACAAAAUAAUCGUCCCUCAUAAAUCGUCCCCGUCUGGGGAAAUCCCUGUUAUCUGUGUGAGGGAUCAGACGCGCUCGAGGGGUCGUGAAACGACCCUUGUUCUGAAAAACGAACACCAUCCUUAUUUUACUGAACGAUCAAAUCCACAACUGUGUAUUCUUUUAAUCUUUUAUUCUAUUUCUGAAAAUUUAAAAAAAAUGUUUUUUUGUCCUUUUAUAUUUUUUUAACUUUUUUUUGGAUUUUCUUGUGUUUUUUUUAACAAUAAAGAGAUAAACCAA